rnacentral:rRNA from 1 species
GAUGAACGCUGACAGAAUGCUUAACACAUGCAAGUCUACUUGAAUUUGGGUUUUUUAACUUAGAUUUGGGUGGCGGACGGGUGAGUACCGCGUAAAGAACUUGCCUCACAGCUAGGGACAACAUUUGGAAACGAAUGCUACUACCUGAUAUUAUGAUUAUAAGGCAUCUUAGAAUUAUGAAAGCUAUAUGCGCUGUGAGAGAGCUUUGCGUCCCAUUAGCUAGUUGGAGAGGUAACGGCUCACCAAGGCGAAGAUGGGUAGCCGGCCAGAGAGGGUGAACGGCCACAAGGGGACUGAGACACGGCCCUUACUCAUACGGGAGGGAGCAGUGGGGAAUAUUGGACAAGGGACCAAGAGUCUGAUGCAGCAAUUCUGUGUGGACGAUGACGUUUUUCGGAAUGUAAAGUGCUUUCAGUUGGGAAGAAAAAAAUGACGGUACCAACAGAAGAAGUGACGGCUAAAUACGUG